AGGUCCUCGGGUCCUCCUCCCUCCUGGCCAGCCCUGCUCUGCAGGACACCUCCUGUGCACUGGAGUCUGUCACUCCCUGCUCCUGACAGGGCCUGCGGGGUCUGUGGUUCAGGCUUUAUAGAGGUGACUAUAAAAUCAUGCGACUGUUAUUUUAAGCCACCAACACCUCCAAAUCAGCGCUGUCCUCUUAGAAACCCUCUGGGCUUUUGGGAAGACGUACAAAUCUUGACCAAGCUGCCAUUGAACCUCGUGGGCCCAUGUCCCCACUGCCCCUCGGACGCAGUUCCCAGCCUUCCACCCUGGACUGGAGUCCUUUGGGAGGAAAGCCUACCUUUAUCUAGAAGGUCACAGUUAUGGGGACGAAACCAGGGCUGCCAGCCGAAAGUGACAGCUUCCCGGUGGGUACUGAGGCCCUCUGUGAGGGUCCCUCUGCCUGGGAUGGAACAGGGUGGCCGGAUCUGCCCCCUUGCUUGUGUUUUGGAUGGUGGCUGUGGUCCCCACUGAGAAGGGAAGACGCCGUGCGCUGGGACAGCCCAGGGACAGCACCCAGGAAACCGCUCCUCUCCUUCCUCCAGCUUCCCCCCAGGAAACUCCCACCCUCUGUCUGUCCUCCAUCAGCUGGUCUUCUGUCCUUCAGCUCUAGGCGAAGGACACAGCCUGCUUUUCCACACGCGGUUCAGUGCUGGGGCUCUGCCCAGGGGCUUCCUCUGAUCCCUUCUCUCCUUUCUCAGAACCCUGUCCGGCUGUUCCAAUUUGGGGAUUGAUCUACCCCGAGUGCGGUGUCUGCUUUUCUGCAUGGCGAGCACUCUCCGGCCUGGUGUUUCUCUGUCCUUCUCCCACCCCGACUCUAAUCUUUGCAGCUUAGAGAGGCUUAAAACGCUUCUUAGGCAUAAGGUUGUUCUUAUAAGGCAACUAUUGACGAGCUGAACAGCAAUGAUUCCAGAACUUAGUGUGAGAACUUUCUUGCUUCUUGCACUGUGUAUGGCGGGUGGAAGGGGAGGGAGGCCUACUACUGUCUUAGGUGGUCACAGUAUUCUCUUUCCAAGCACAGGUGGACCAUGGGCCUCCAUGAGGAGCCGGCCCCUCCCCUCACCCACCCAGCUGAUGGGGGGGAGGGUCGGUACACUGUCCCUCCCUCUGCUCAGCCUGAGCCGGGGGGCUUCCGCUCACCUGGGGCAGAGGCACUGUGCUCAUUCCCCUCAUUCACUGGUCUCUCCACAGCCACGCAAGCCAUUAGGACAGAACCACAGCAUCCGAGCUGCCCUGUGCAGUUUGAAAGCUGCUUUCGCUGCCUGAUUUCAUUGACUGCUCACAAGGCAAUGGAGAAAGCACAAAGGUUCCCAUGUGCCCAGUGAGACUGAAGUUUAGAAAGGGGACGUGGCUGACCAGAGGGAUCUCAGGUACCCAGACGGAGCAUUUGGACUAGAAUUCGAGAUUCUGGCUCCACAGCCCUCCUGGGCCCAGCCACUUCCCACAGUGAAGAACGCAGCUGCAGCAGGGCGGGUGACGGUGGGUGACCGUGGGCACUUUUAGAUAUCAAGAACAGACAGCUCUGUGGUUCAUUCCCAAGUGCAAUCGGUAGCAGCCUCCACACUAUGGGAUGUAACGGCCUGGAAAUGAACGUGGAAUGAGCCAUUGACCUUAGUGCAUGGGGGACUGGAAUCCAGGGACCUCAGCACCACCUUGGGUACAGCUGACUUUGCACUUGGGAAGUGGUGGAAGGUCGGACGAUUGAGAGAGGGCUGACUCCUUGUGUGGGGAACAGAGGCGAAGACUCUCGGCCGUUCUGCGCCUGCUCUUUGAUGCUGCACAUUCGGACUGGAGGAGGAAAGAGAAUUCUUGAAAUGCCACCUGGCCCCAGCAGCCCAUCUCCAUGAUAAUUCCAGAGGGAAACUGGAAACACCAGUUGUGAGGUCGGAAACCUUGCCGCUGACAUUAGCCUUCAAAUCCGUCACUUGCAUUUUUGAGAAAACAGUCAAUGUCCCGGGCUUCUUUCCCCACAUUUGUAGAUCUGACCUAGUAGAAGCCCAAUGUUGGCAUGACGUGGAAAGAAGGAGUUUGGAAAUCAGAAGAGGUUGGGACAUAUUUAUGGAAAUGGGUGGAUACUUUUCCUGAGAUUCUGGAGGAGUGAGGCCCUAGGACAUCCACUCUAAAUCAUCCAAGGGACAUGUGAUACCCAUGAGGGACAGCUGGAAUUCCCAGUGGAGUCCUGAUGGAAUAAUAAUGGGCGUAUCUUCCUCCCACUGAUAUCUACAGGGAAGACCUACGGUCCUCCCAGACAGGGAUUAGGCCUAAUAAAUUACACAUCAGGACGCAGGAUACACACCCAUCAGGGCUGCGUACAUACGCUGACGGCCCUGAGCGCAGAGGACCAUCAUCCUCGGCUGACACACAGCAGGCAUCACGCCACAGGAAGUGGCCUGGACUGUGUCCCAGCAAAGGAGUCCUGGAGUAGAGAAGGACAUGCCAACAGUCAGGCAGGGUGUUUACCCUGGGGACACUCAGAGCUCCGGGGACUCAGAUGCCGUGUGUGUGAAGGGCUGCUACCCUCCUGAGAGAGAGUUGCUGGCCUUGGGCCUCCACCAUGGUCUCUCAACCUCCCGCUGUUGGCCCUGUAGGCCAGAGGAUGCGCCAUUGUGAGGGACUGUCCUGUGUAUCUUAGAACACUCGACCUCGUCCCUGGCCUCCACCCCCGUGAUGCCUCCAGCAACUCCCCACAUACUUGGUGAUUCAAAAUGGCCCCAGGAUGGGGAAUGGGGCUAAAAUGUCCCCAUUUGAAAAUCACUGACCUACAUUAGGAAAGACAAAGGUGAAUUUUGUUUCUCUGUUUGAUGACCAAAAUCUCCAGUGGCUUCCUGUCUCAGGAUGAAAGCCAAAGUCCACUAUGGUGCCCCGUGUCCUUGGGCCUCACCUGUCCAUCCUCAUCCCUACAUUUCUUCCCCUGACUGGCUCAGGGCCAGUCAUGCUGACCUCCAGGCUCUCUGCACAUGCACCCAGCAUGCUCCCUUGGCCUGGAAUGUUCUCUGUACUUCUUCCUCCCCAGGAUCCGCGUUGCUCAUCUCCUCACAUCUUCAGGUCUCCGCUGACCUGCGCCGACAUCUCAAAUGUCACUUCCUUGGAGGCACCAUCCUCCACCAAACAACGCCUCAGGCUCCACACCCCAUGGCUUUUUAAGUCCUUCCUUCUGACCUGUUUUCCCUGUGGUUCUGUCACUGCCUGCCACUGUGCAUCUGCCCCCAUCUCUCUCCCAGAACACAGGCUUCACAAGGACAGUUGCUCAGCCUGUUACCAGAUGCUGUCUUAAAACGUAUCUGUAGGAUUUUAACUUAUGGAGAGGACUGGAGAGAGACAGCAAUGCCAUUGAAAGAAGAUUUUCAUUAUGUUCAUUUCCCUAGAGAAGAGGCCACCAUGCUGCGUGGAGACGCACCAGUUUGGUUAGGAGGCACAGGUAGCACGCAGCCCAGGCCAGAGACUUUAUUGGGAUUUCUGUGGGAGAGGGGAGGCAGGCUGGGGCCACACCUUAGUACUGGCUAAUGUGAAGAAUCACAGUGGGGUCUGGCUACAGAGAUGGUCUCCCAUCACCUGGUGCCUGCCCCCGGGUAGUCAGGCCAGGGAAGCCUGGGCUCGGUGUGUUAGAUAGGAGGUGACUGGGGCUAAGGCUGGUUGGUUUGCUAAUAAAAGACAUGAACGCACGUUGUCAUGAUCUUCAGAGACUAUCCAGCCCUGGA
rnacentral:lncRNA from 1 species